rnacentral:rRNA from 1 species
GACGAACCGUGCAAACGUUGUUCGGAAUCACUGGGCUUAAAGGGCGCGUAGGCGGGUCUCCAAGUCGGUGGUGAAAUCUUUCAGCUCAACUGGAAAAGUGCCGCCGAUACUGGGGAUCUCGAGGGAGGUAGGGGUCGAUGGAACUAAUGGUGGAGCGGUGAAAUGCGCAGAUAUCAGGAGGAACACCGGUGGCGAAGGCGGGUCUCUGGGCCGAUACUGACGCUGAGGAGCGAAAGCGUGGGGAGCGAACAGG